GUUUCUCCUACUCAGGCUCCCCGAGGAAGGCAGCCCUGGUGGGCCCAGUAAUUCCUGGCCGGGUGGACCUGGCCAGGGGCUGGUUUCAGUGAAGGCACUCACUCCCACCCCAGGCCCCAGUUCCUGGCCAGCUCUUGCCAGAAGGAGAGGCUGGACUUUGGAAGGUGGGUGUGAGUGCCUUCAAUGAAACUGAUCCUUGCCACCCAGUCACCAGUGUGACAAGCUUUUGCUGUGUUGGGCACUUGCUCCCAUCUGCUUGCUUCUCUAGAAUCCAC
rnacentral:lncRNA from 1 species